rnacentral:rRNA from 1 species
GUGGGGAAUAUUGGACAAUGGGGGAAACCCUGAUCCAGCAAUGCCGCGUGGGUGAUGAAGGCCUUCGGGUUGUAAAGCCCUUUCGGCGGGGACGAUGAUGACGGUACCCGCAGAAGAAGCCCCGGCUAACUUCGUGCCAGCAGCCGCGGUAAUACGAAGGGGGCUAGCGUUGUUCGGAAUUACUGGGCGUAAAGGGCGCGCAGGCGGCUUGGCGAGUUGGGCGUGAAAGGCCUGGGCUUAACCCGGGAACUGCGCUCGAUACUGCCAGGCUCGAGUGUGGGAGAGGAUGGUGGAAUUCCUAGUGUAGAGGUGAAAUUCGUAGAUAUUAGGAAGAACACCGGCGGCGAAGGCGGCCAUCUGGACCACAACUGACGCUGAGGCGCGAAAGCGUGGGGAGCAAACAGGAUUAGAAACCCUGGUAGUCC